AUGUCGUCUGCUAUACCUAGCAAGGUUGAUCCAUUAGACUUUGUCUACACAAACAUCCCCGACACCACACACAUCAUGAAGCUCGACGCAAACUGCAAACACUGCCAGGCCAAAAAGUUUGUGUCUGAGACUGACGGUUUCUGCUGUCGCAAUGGUCAGAUCGAACUUAAACAACCGAAGCCAAUCCCGGAGUUGAUGAGGCUAUGGUCAAGCAUGGAUGCAGACUCUAGACAUUUUCGGGAGAACAUACGCUUCUUCAACGGGCAUUUUGCCUUCACAACCCUUGGCGUCAGCCUUGAUGAGAACUACACAAACAUGAAGUCUGGGGUGUACACAUUCCGGGCACACGGCACCAUCUACCACAAUGUGUAA
rnacentral:rRNA from 1 species